AUGAACGCUGGCGGCGUGCCUAAUACAUGCAAGUCGAGCGAACAGACGAGGAGCUUGCUCCUCUGACGUUAGCGGCGGACGGGUGAGUAACACGUGGAUAACCUACCUAUAAGACUGGGAUAACUUCGGGAAACCGGAGCUAAUACCGGAUAAUAUAUUGAACCGCAUGGUUCAAUAGUGAAAGACGGUUUUGCUGUCACUUAUAGAUGGAUCCGCGCCGCAUUAGCUAGUUGGUAAGGUAACGGCUUACCAAGGCGACGAUGCGUAGCCGACCUGAGAGGGUGAUCGGCCACACUGGAACUGAGACACGGUCCAGACUCCUACGGGAGGCAGCAGUAGGGAAUCUUCCGCAAUGGGCGAAAGCUUGACGGAGCAACGCCGCGUGAGUGAUGAAGGUCUUCAGAUCGUAAAACUCUGUUAUUAGGGAAGAACAAAUGUGUAAGUAACUAUGCACGUCUUGACGGUACCUAAUCAGAAAGCCACGGCUAACUACGUG
rnacentral:rRNA from 1 species